GGACUUAAAAUCCGUCGACUUUAUAAGUCGUGAGGGUUCAAGUCCCUCUAUCCCCA
rnacentral:tRNA from 8 species